GAGGAAUCAGACUCAAAAAAGGUUAAGUAAAGUUCCAAGUUCACAGGUGCUUGGCAAGUAGCAGAGUCAGGAUUUGAACUAAGAUCAUUAGGACUCAAGGUUUGAAUGCAAUUCUAAGGAGAGGCUGUUAAAUCGAAGAAGGUAGAGCUCAGAAGCUGAAUGCAUUGCCCAAACUUAUGCUCAGGAAGAAAAUGUGGGAGAUGAGGAUUUACUGAUGAAGAAACUUUUAGAAAUUUCCUACUGCCAAAGAUGCAAACAUGUGACAUUUAUGAAAGGGGUUAUGGUGUUCUGAUGAUGACAAGUCCACAAAGCAAAUUCCAAUCUACGAUGUGACAGAGAAAAGGUUUUGUUCAAGGAAGCCACAGAGAAGCUGUUCCCAUCCCUCGCCUGGCUUUUCCCAUGCUCCUACUGAUCUGGUGUGCUGUCUCAGAAACCCUGCUCGCCCCUGUGAUCCA
rnacentral:lncRNA from 1 species